CAGUAGCCGCGGUAAUACGUAGGGUGCAAGCGUUAAUCGGAAUUACUGGGCGUAAAGCGUGCGCAGGCGGUUUGUUAAGACAGAUGUGAAAUCCCCGGGCUCAACCUGGGAACUGCAUCCAAAACUGGCGAGCUAGAGUAUGGUAGAGGGUGGUGGAAUUUCCUGUGUAGCGGUGAAAUGCGUAGAUAUAGGAAGGAACAUCAGUGGCGAAGGCGACCACCUGGACUGAUACUGACACUGAGGUGCGAAAGCGUGGGGAGCAAACAGGAUUAGAUACCCCAGUAGUCCCUGUCUCUUAUAC
rnacentral:rRNA from 1 species